rnacentral:misc_RNA from 1 species
GAUGAAGAACGUAGCGAAAUGCGAUAAGUAGUGUGAAUUGCAGAAUUCGGUGAAUCAUCGAAUCUUUGAACGCACAUUGCGCCCCUUGGUAUUCCAUGGGGCAUGCCUGUUCGAGCGUCAUUUGUACCUUCAAGCUUUGCUUGGUGUUGGGUGUUUGUCUCGCCUUUGCGUGUAGACUCGCCUUAAAAUAAUUGGCAGCCGGCGUAUUGAUUUCGGAGCGCAGUACAUCUCGCGCUUUGCACUCAUAACGACAGCGUCCAAAAGUACAUUUUACACUCUUGACCUCGGAUCAGGUAGGGAUACCCGCUGAACUUAAGCAUAUCAAUAAGCGGAGGA